AGUGAACGCUGGCGGCGUGCUUAACAUAUGCAAGUCGAACGAGAACGGAUUAUAGCUUGCUAUAAUUGUCAGCUAAGUGGCGCACGGGUGAGUAAUGUAUAGGUAAUAUGCCUCUUACUAAGGGAUAACAAAUGGAAACGUUUGCUAAUACCUUAUACUCCUUAUUAACAGAAGUUAAUAAGGGAAAGAUUUAUUGGUAAGAGAUUAGCCUGUAUUGUAUCAGUUAGUUUGUGGGGUAAUGGCUUACCAAGACUAUGACACAUAACUGGUUUGAGAGGAUGAUCAGUCACACUGGAACUGAGACACGGUCCAGACUCCUACGGGAGGCAGCAGUGGGGAAUAUUGCACAAUGGACGGAAGUCUGAUGCAGCAACGCCGCGUGGAGGAUGACACAUUUCGGUGCGUAAACUCCUUUUAUAUGAGAAGAUAAUGACGGUAUUAUAUGAAUAAGCACCGGCUAACUCCGUGCCAGCAGCCGCCGUAA
rnacentral:rRNA from 1 species